rnacentral:snRNA from 1 species
UAGUGUUACAGCUCUUUUAGGAUUUGUCUGGCGGGCUUGCCGGUUGCCCAU